UCUUUGUCAAUGAUGCAUUCAGUAACAAUGUCUGAACUUAUGAAUUUCAGUGAUUCUUAUUUAUUAACUGAGACAAAGA
ensembl:snoRNA